UACCCGCAGCACAAGUGGUGGUCAUUAUUAUUGGGGCCUAAAAGCGUCCGUAGCUGGCUUGUUAGAUGCCUGGGUAAAUCGAUGCGCUCAACGUAUCGAACUCCGGGUAGACCGGCAAGCUUGGGACCGGGAGAGGCGUGAGCUACGUCGAGGGGUAGGGGUAAAAUCCUGUAAGUCCUUACGGGGAGGACCAGGUGGCGAA
rnacentral:rRNA from 1 species